UCAGCCAACAGUUUCAUUCUUGGGCUCAUGGUACGAAAAGUAAGUUACCUUCAAUCGUGUUAGCAUUACAAGACGCUGGAAUACUCGUAUCGAGGGAACAACACGCUGAUCAUCAUCGCGUUCCGUAUAACAACAAUUACUGCAUUGUUAGUGGAAUUUGGAACUCGAUUUUGGACGACUCGAAGUUUUUUGAGCUGAUGGAGAUGAUUUUCUUCUUUAAAUUCGGAGUUCG
rnacentral:misc_RNA from 1 species